GUGCUCCCUUCAGAAGCAGCACAUAUGCUAACACUGGAAUAAUACAGAGAUUAUCAUGGUCCCUGUGCAAGGAUGACAUGCAAAUUCCUGAAGCACUCCAUAUUUUU